GACAAGCCCCUGCACUUUAGGAAAUUUCACUUGGAUAAUUGAGAAGAUGAUAGAGUGGACACCAAGAGAGCAGUUGGGGGCUAUUGCAGUAGUCCAGGUGAGAGAUUAGGUGAUGAGAAGACUUAGAUAGUACCCUCAACAGAAAUGGAAAUUGGAUACAUGAGGAGAGAAGGAUAAUGAGUUCUGGCUUGGACAUGUUGAGUCUGAGAUGUCUGUGGAAUAUACAAUUAGAUCUCCCAGAGGGAGUUGGUGAUGUGAGAGACAGGAAGUCAGAACAGGAUAAAUAAAUCUGUGAACUAUCUUGUAUAGAGGAGGCCUUGGAAGUUAUUGAGAUCACAAAGCAAGAUAACAUAAAGGAAGAAGAGAAGAGGGCCUAGAUCAGGGCCUUAUGGGAUGCCAUGGUUACUCAGAAUGAUCUGGAUGAAGAUCCAAUAAGAGAGACAGAAUGAGCAAUCUAAUAGAAGACCAGAAAACCUAAAAAAGAGAGUAUCCAAGAUAAAUAAAUGGGUGAUUGGCAAUGCCCUGCUAUUAGGUCAAGAAGGUUGAGUUAUGAGCAAAGGUCUUAGAUGUGGGAAUCAAGAUGUUAGUUGUAGAGAGCAGUUUCUGGGUUAUGAUGAACUAGGAAGGUAGUUGCAGAAGUAUUAGAAUCAAGGUUCUUUCAUUUUUCUUCACAGUAGAAGAGUCAUGUAUAAAUAGAUGACUUUUCAAAUAGUUUCAUGUAGUUCCAAUAGUGAGAGCAGACCCCAAUAAAAUCAAAGCCAUCAGCUAGCCAGAACCAGGCACAUAUGAUCUCACCUGAAAAGUUCUUGGCUGUUCCUGACUAUCCUUGUUCUACGCACUGAAGCCAAGCAUUUCCCUGAGAAUCUGUACUAGAUGGUUACAUAUUUACCUGUGAUUUAUUAUCCUAUAGAAAACUCUGUUUAGAACCACUGAGGUAAUCUAACAUCCAUUGUCUCUAUCUUAUAAAUCAUUACUAACCAUUGUCCCUGCAAAAGGCUUACCUAAUCCCUUAGCCUACAUCAUUUUCCCUAUAAAAUGUGUACCCAAAUCAUUAAACCUUGUCAUUGACCAGCAAGAAGAUUUCUGUGUGUCUGUCUGUCAGUCAGUUCGGCCCUCCUGUAAUCCCAGAAUCAUUUUUCUCAUCCUGGUUCAUUGACCCACAAGUAAUUUGUAGAGCUGGGCUUUUACAGUUUCACCUCUGGAGGACUUUACCUAUAAAAUGAGAGAUUUGGACCAGAUAACCUAAGUGAUUCCUCCCAACUCUAAAACCCUGUUCCAAGUGAUGUAUCCAACAUAGGAAGUGAUCUAAUCUAUGGUUUUUGUACUGAGCUGGAAUAUAAUGGCAAAAACAUCAUAAGAAGAGUAAAAAUAAUCUACCUAGUGAUGUUUUUAAAACCAGUUCAUAUUCCCUCUUCAUAAAUGGAAAAUCCAGUGCUCUCCUUCACAAUGAUAGGAAGAACAGUGACAGUCAGGAUAUGAACCCAGAUCACUGGACUAUGAAUCUGUAUUCUAUCCAUGUUGCCAUACUUCCUAUAAUAAAGUCUUUUAUGAAGUAAUAUUUUCCUAAUUCCAUAAUUUUUUUUAGAAUUUAGAUUGCCAAAUCUUUGGUUUGUUUAAAGCAGGAUACACCUUUAUUCAGAGCCAGGAAAGUAGGAAGAGGAGUUAAACUGAAUCAUAGCAUUCCAUAUAUGACUUAACAGAGGGCCUCUGUGAUUGAAAGGACAGGUUGAUUGAAAAAAGGACAGGUGGUGCUGCUUAGCUUGGGAAUUGAUGGGCACUAAAGUUAUUGGAACCAUGGCAUUACUCACCAAGACACUGUUGGCUCCGUUGGCAGCCUUGAUCUAGUAGUUUGUAACAUAAGCAGAUUUCAUGCAUGCACUGUAAGCCACAGUGAAUUCCACAUCUUGCUGGAAGAUGACACUUGGGAGUCUUAAGAACAGAACAAAAUGAAAAAUGGAGGCCUUGGGAAAAUGUGCAAUGGGACUGAUGCGGUGGCUGCUUGUCCUGGGAUAGAACCCACCUAAGGACCUUCCCUGAGUAGCUGAGCCUUCUCACUCCCACAAUGUGCUCAGGCUGUGCCCAUCGGACCAUCUGACAGACACUGUCCCCAUGAGCCACUCCACAAAGAGGAAGCCGUUCCCAAACUCCAGCAGCAGCAGGAGCCAGUCUGAUUGCUCUCUCUUCCCUCUCUUAGACCCUCUCCCUGCUGCUCCCACUUUAGGAUCAUUAAUGGGGGAUGAAUCAUCCCUCAGCUAAACUUUGAUUGUAUCUUAGUCUGAUUUAGUCUUUUCUUGGGUCCAAGGAGAUUUCCAGAUCUCAGAAAGAGAAUACUCCAGGGUCUUUGCAAACUCGGACUUGUUCAGCUGUAAUUAUGUCUGCAAGGGUUGUCAUGGCAACAGGGACAGGUGCAUUAGCUCCAUUUCCUCUAUGUGUUUGUGCUUAAGAGUGUGUAUGGGUGGGUAGGUUCAUGCAUACACAUGGGUGCCUGAACUCAAGUCAAGGCAACGAUGUUAUUCAACACUAGUAGCCAGCCAAGCAUUUCUCCAUAAAUGACACCUUCUCCAAGAUAUUAGUUUGUCAUAAAUGGGCUUCAGAUUAGGGGAUGGGGCGACACAACCUCACUUCUAUUCAAAUAAACCUGAAAUUAAUCAUUUUACAUACUCGAGGACCAAUUGGUAUCCUUAAGCAAGUCAUAUUUGUUCCAACUAAGAUACCAUAGAAAAUAUCCAAAUUCUCUCCUUCAUGAAUAAACUGCUUUUAGAAUACCCUAAAAUGGGUAGAAUACUGCCUGUCAUGCACACGGUAGUGGGAGACACAAUAAAGCUUGGUCCUGGUUCUUACAGUAAUCAAGUUAAAAGUGGCAACAUUAGCCUUUUUAGAUGUUAAAUUACAAACAUAGUUAAGUGCUCUAUGAGAGGUAAAGACAGUAAAUGCUACGGGAGAUCAGAGGGAAAGAGGAAGAGAUUACUUCCAGGUGAGGGCUGGGACUUGACCAAAACUUUGAAAGAUGGAUAGAGUUUGAAUAGGUUAAGAUAGCUAUCAUCGUGAACAGAGAUGCAAAUGGACAUGCCUUUCCCAACCAGCACUUGCUAAGCACUUAGAAUGUGCCAGCCUCUUGCACAAGGUGCUAGGAACAAAGUCAAAGAAGGAAGUCUUUCCUUGAGGAGCUUACGUUCUGUGUGAGAAGCUCAUAACCCUACUGGAGUAGCAGACCAGUUUAAGUGGGUAGCAAUGGAUUUUUAAGUAGUGCCAAGAUUCAAAGCCAGAACCUGAUGGUAGAGGACCUUGACUGCCUGGCCAAAGAGUUUACUUUGCUCUCUAGGUAAGAUGGAGCCAUUGGAAGUUUCUGAGACAAGGGGCACAUCAUCCAAAGAUUUUCUUUUUCCUUCUAGUUCAAAUAUUAGCAGGAGGUGUUUCAGGAGUGGCAGGUAGAUGAAACUGGAGGGAAUCAGAAUCACAGAGUGAGACUCCUUUUUUUAAUGUUUGCUCAAGUCAACCCAGUUCACAACAAAAAUCCAGUUUUGCACCCAGAGUUCAAGCGGAAAAGACGAGGUUGUUGUUUAGUGGCUUCCGUCCCAGAUGUUGUGGGAGAGUCCCCCGGAGCCAAGCUGGCCGUCAUCACCCGCCUUCUGUGUGUCUUCUCCAUAUGAAGUGCUGCCCAUCAGAUUGCUCUGUAAGGGAAGAAGGGCUGCUCUGUGCCGUGCGGGUGACUCAUGGCCAUCAUCACAAGAUCCUUUCUCUUGGCCCCCUCUCGGUAUGUGACUCCGUGCAGAGGGGCCCUCCCAUCACUGCACAGAGGCCCAUUGUGACAGCCGGCAUGGGCCAGAACAUGUUGGGACUGUAGCAGGGUGGGAAGAGAGAGACAGGAAAGGGGAGCAAUCCAGCCAUCCUGGGCUUUGCACAACUCCUGCCAGCAGAGCCGGACGGAGCUGGUGAUUUGUCAUCUGGAUGAUGGAGCGAAUGAAAAAGCAGUCUUGGCACUGGCAUCAUUUAACCUGUGUCUCGGUUUCUUUAUAGAAAGGAGGGGAUUGGGGUGCCUUAUCUUUAAGGUCUCUUUAAGUUCUGAAAUCUUAUGGAUCUCCACAGUGGAACAGUGAAGAGGAUUUAGAGGGUUGGCCCUGGAGUCAGGAAGACUGGAGUCCACAUCCUGCCUCCGGCACUUCCUAGCUUGGGGAGAGUCACUUAACCUCUGAGUGCCUCAGUUCCUCAUCUGUAAAAUUUUGGAAGGAUCAAGUGAGAUAUCUAUAAAGCACACAGUAAGCCCCAUAUAAAUGUUAGUUGUUGGUAUUUGUUAGAGAAAUGCAAGACCACUUCCACUCUCCCCUUUCCAAUCCAUCUUUCAGACAAAGUCUCAGAUUUCAGAUUCCGUCAGCCGGCCUCCAAGGCUGCCCCCAAGAUAAGAAUACCAUUUUCCCUGCUUGAACUCUUACUCUUCCCUCUGCCCCUCCUAAAUACUAUUCAAACUGGACUACUUCCUUCAUCCCAUAUUUAUCCUGUGCUUUUCUGACCUUCUGGGCUCCUGCUGUCUCUCAUGCCUUGGCACAUCCCUUCCCAGUUCCAUUGUUCAGCCGGCUGAAUUUCUACUUGGACGUGCCCCUUAAAUAUGGCUUCUUCAUGAUUUCUUCCCUCAUUCCCCUGGUGAUGUGGGUCAGGGGACCAAGCUUGGUCCUUGGCAACCAACUCCCCCAACCUAGAAUGUAAUCACUGAGUGUAAAAGGCACAUAACUAGAUGUGAAACUAAGGAUAAGCAUGGGAUCAUAUUCUUCAUCCCUUUAUUAAGGAUGGGGGGAAAUUCUUUGAUUGAAUGGAAGGAAGCAACUGCCAUUGACCAUGUCCCUGAUUGUCUUGCAGUGAAGCAAACAAACAAAAAUACGCAGAGAAGUAAAGGAAAUAAAGGAGGAGACAAAAGCAAAAUAGGGUCUGAACUAACAUGACAAACUUAAUUGUUAGGUAGUUUUUCAUUUGUGUAAAACUAUGACCCCAUUUGGGAGUUUCUUGGCAAAGUUACUAGAGAAGUUUGCCAUUUCCUUCUCUAGUUCAUUUUACAGAUGAGGAAACUGAGGCAAACAGGAUGAAAUGACUUAUGCAGGAUCAUAUAGCAAGUAAGUGAAGCUGGAUUUUACUUCAAGUCUUCUUGAUUUGAGAUCUGGUGCUCUAAACACUGUGCUGCCUGAUAAAUUUAGUAAGUACUUUAAAAAAUCAAGACUAUGGGUAGGAAUUGGUCCUAUAAUUUCAAUUGUAUAGGAAACUUCAGGAAAAUUCUUACACCAAUGCUUAUCUGAACUUUCUCUGCCACUUAAAGGUCUUAGAAAGUUGCCCAGAGCGCUUAGAGGAUUUGAACCCAGUUCUUUUUCUGACUUCAAGGAAAGCUAUGCACACUACAGGUAAAUAGAGAUUCGUACCCAAUCCUCUCUUCUGUUCUUGAUGGGCAGACGAAGUGGCCGCUGUGGCCUUUGUAUGAUUUAUGAUCCUAAAUUGUCUAACCUCCCGAGCCUUUGUGUCCUCACCUGUACAACGGAAAAGGAGGGUUCUGGGAAUUCUAGCUCCAGGUCCAAGCUCCAGCCCUUAUGUGUGUGUGAUGCCAGAUGACUUCCCUGCCUCGCAUGAAGCAGAAGGCCCUCAUCAUCCGGCAUGUCCACUGGGAUAAGAAAGACUCUUCCGAUCCUCCUCGGUGUAUAUCAGAGGUGUCGGACACACAGCUGGCCCGCCCCAUGCAAUGCACCCCAGUGCAGUCCACCAGAUUAAAGUGUCCCUGGGAAAUGUUUAACAAAAUAAAAAUCUCAAAUACAAUAAAACGUAGAUAACAGUCCGGUUUAUAGCUAAGUCAAUACAGCCCACAGGGAUCCUUGGCCUUCCUUUCAGGCUGACUUUGACACCAUGGCUAGUCAGGAUUGGCCAUUGGAGCAGGGAGGGGUGGGGGAGAAGAAACGGGCCUUGGCAGUGGGACGUCCUCCUACGCCUUUAUCUCCCGGGAGUGGGAAAGCCCCGCCACGGCCCCCAAGAAGGGAACCAACCACGGGCUUGGCUCUGAUGGCGGUACGCGCCUCCUACUGGUCUUCUCCAAGACUCGCCCAACUUGGCAGCUUUCCUUCUUGGUUUGCUCUUCCAGCCCCGUUAACAUCCUCAUUUUUAGCUCUAGAAACCAGCUUUGGAAGGGCUCCAUCCAAUAGGCCUCUGUGCUUCCUUCAGAAGCUUUCGGUCCAGGGAAAAGUUAAGAAACUGAUUUCCCAGACCAGAGGCUGUUUGAGGACUCCCGAGAGGAGGGGCAGAGCCCCCAAGAUAGGGGAGAACCCUAAAAGCCCAGCUUUAGAGUUCAAAGGGGCCCCAGAGGUCCUCCAAUCCAAAUCUUGUGUUUUAUGAAUGAGGAAACAAGGACCAGAGAAAUCGUGUGGCCCAAAGAGUCGGGCCUUCCUAAGCAGCAGAGCCUGAAUUUGAAUUUGUGCAGGUAACUCGAGAAAGGGGAAUAUUUGUAGGAGGGAAGGCAUCGACAAUGAGAUGUGGUCGAGACAGUGAGGUGACGCCGCAGAGGGAAGAAGACUUGGGUUCAAUUCUUUCCUCUGAUACUUAUUAGCUUAUGUGCCCUUAGAAAGCCACUCAGAACCUAUCUGCCUCAGUUUCCUUAUCUGUAUAAUGAUGAUUUAGACUUAUCAAUACAAUGAUAUUAGGUUAAUAAUAGCAUCUAUCUCCCAGGGAUGUUGUAAGGACCGAAUUUAUAAUAGUUGUAAGUGCUUUAUAAAUAGGAGCCUUCAUGAUUGUGAUCCAAAAGGAGCAAUUUAUAUAAAAUAGGGAAGCUGAUGAAAUGAUCACUUUGGCUGUCCAGUAUAUAGUAGCUAGAGCUUGGAGUUAGGAAGACUAGAGUUCAAAUCCUACCUGAGAUCAUUUUUUAAGCCGCGUCACCAAAGGGAAAUCAGACAGCCUCCGUUGUUUCUCAUCUAUCUAUAAAAUGGGGAAAAUGUAUCACCUCGCAGGUUUUGUUGUUUUUGUAGCCACAUGUAGAGUCUCUGCGAACCUUCAAAGGGUUUCUUUGUAGAUGAUCAUGCCGAGGAGGGGGAGGUCAUCCCCGAAAGGUUUCGCUAAUGACCAGAAGUGACAUUUGCUACUGAACAGAGACUCAGUCUUUGGUGAGGAAAAAUAGGACGAGGUUUUUUCCUCUAACGGCUAAAAGGCCUAUUUUGGAAUUGUCUCAUUUCCAUGAUAUUUCAACUCUGUGGCUCAGAACACGCCACUUAUCAGAAAGGCUUCUGUCUGGAAGAUACUUCUCCAGGAGCCAGCUCAGCACUAAUGAUGAUGAAUGGUAGUGACGGAGGCUGCUUCUGCACAAUGGGAUUGGCAUAAAUUUCGACUAAUGGAGGGUGCCUUUGGCUGGUACUGAGUGGGUAAGUGAUGUUUAACCUGCCGUUAAACAGGUGUGAAAUUCUCUUCUCAGGAUUUCAAUAGAGAACAUUGCCCAAUAAAGAUUAAAAGGGAGAAGAGAGAUAAAGAUGAAAUGCGCUAUCAUUUUCAAUUCUAUUUUUUUUUUAAUUCAAGGGGAACUUUGUUUUAAGCUACUCUUUUAAACUUGAAAGUAAGUUGGCUGCAAGUUUUUGAAAUCGUGUCUUCUAGUCUAAGGAACUUAAACUAGGGAGAUUUAGGUGGGAGCCAGAGCACUUGCCUAAUCAAAGAGCCCUUGGACGGGUUAGACGAGGACAGUGUGGAACUCAACAACUCCUCUAGUCUCUGAAGGAAGGGGAGGGCCAUGCAUUUAUUGGGGGUUUUUAUACAAUAUGGGUUCAGGACUCACUUGCCCAGCUCCCACCCAAACUGGACAGUUAGAUCCCCCAACAUGACUGAAUUAUUUGUCCCUCAGGGUCCUAGAGGUUACUCAGAGGCAACUCUCCUGAGUGGAGUAGAACCAGAUUAAAGUGCAAUUGGGAAAUAUUUAACAAAAUAAAUAAAAAUACAGCACGAACAAUGUUACUAUGUAGUUUGGUCCUCUUUUAAGGCACUUGGCUGCCAGUGGGGAUCCUUAGACACCACUGCAUGGGCACUGAAGCUGAGGUCUGUUUCUUCCUCCUCCUCCACAGUGAUUGCCCUUUUCUUACUUUGCCUGACGAGGGUGGACUCUCCCAUGACGAGUUGACAGCAAGGAAGGGUGGAUGGAUUUGCCACAAGCACCCAAAUUUCUAUUUCUAGAGAGCCUUUGCUUGCCCCUCAAAUGAUACUGCCCUGAUGAUACCACUAAAUACCUGUGGAACCCAGUCCUCUCCUUAAAUAAGCUCAGGAUUCUCAGCAUAGCAGAGGCUGCUUCCCUCCAUCCACAGCAGCUAGUUAGACUGGCCAAGGUAUGCCACUUUCCCAUCACAUGUCCAUCUAGUGUCACAUGACCAUUUCAGUACCGCUAAUGCCCACUUCCUAGGGCUAUUACAAAGCUCAGGGAAAGCCAAGGGUGGGGAUGGCGAAGUCAACGUUCAGAUCUUCUAUGUGUGGAGGGUUCAUGCCUACAGAUAGAGUGGGACAGAGCCCCAGAAUGGGACAUGGGCUUCAUUUAGCCUGAACUUGGGAGCCAUUUUGCCAAGGAAACACACUUCUGUUGGGUAAAUAAGAACCCGCAUGUGCUAAAAGUCCUCUUCCUGGGCAGGCAGCCCAAAAGGCAAAUCUUCAUAGAGGAGGAGGGAUUGUGGGAGAAGUAUUGGUUGAGGUUUAAAUAAGUAGAGAUGGAGCAAUUCCCUCUUCCAGCUAGAUUGGUACCAAGGUCAUCAAAGGUGCAGCCCGAUUACAGACAGGUGUUCUCUGCCCAGGGAAAAACAAAAAGCACCAAGCAAGGGGAAAAGGGGAGAGGACGCAGACCUAAGUCUACCAGCAAGCCCUUUCAUCGUCAUUGGGGGAAUGGGGUGCAAAUGGCAAGUGGGUCAGAGGAGCUAUGAUCAAAGCCCAAUUGUGUUAGAUGUGACAUUGAGCAAAACACUUCCUCUCUAACGGUCUCAGUUUCCUUAUCUAUCUAAUGAUUGGGUUGGAUUAAAGAAGCAUUAAAGGCAUUUCUAUUUCACCUAGGUGGUGAAAUGGAUAGAGUGCUGGACCUUGAGUUAGAAAGACUAAUCUUCUUGAGUUCAAAUCUUGCCUCAGACAUUUACUAGCUAUAUGACCCUGGACAAGUCACUUAACCCCAUUUGCCUCAACUUCCUUAUCUGUAAAAUGAGCUGGAGAAGGAAAUUGCAAAAUCCAGGAUCUUUGCCAAGAGAGCCCCAAAGGGAUCAUGACGAGGUGGACAUAGGGGGCAGCUGGGUGGCUCAGUGGAUAGAGAGCCAGGCCUAGAGAUGAAAGGUCCUGGGUUCAAAUCUGACCUCAGACACUUCCCAGCUGUGUGACCCUGGGAAAGUCACUUGACCCCCAUUGCCUAGCCCUUACCACUCUUCUGCCUUGGAACCAAAAUACAGUAUUGAAUCCAAGACAGAAGAUAAGAGUUUUUAAAAAAUGAAGAGGUGGACAUGACUGAAAAUUUCAAGAUUCUUUAAAACCCAACAUUCAUAUCUAUUGUCUGAGAAUCUUAACAGACUCAAUGUCUACUCAUGUGACUACCAAAUAUCUGCUGCCAGAUUUUAACUAAGAUCUUUCCAAUUCCAAGUUUAUCUCUAUCUGCUUACCAUAGGGGUCCAGUGCAACUCGUAGAGCAUACUUGCAGAAACCAGAUUAAAAUAUAAUUGGCAAAUAUUUAAAAUAAAUAAAAAUACAAUAAAACAGAUUACAUUUUAUAACUAUAAAACAGAUUACAUUUUAUAACUAAGUCAAUAAUGUAGCCUGCUCUUGAGCCUUGAAGACACAGCUAAGAUUUCUGAAAGGGCAGAGGCAAGGACCUGAUGCAUUCCAAGGCCAGUGAGUUUGGGGAAAGUAGACCUGUCUGACUAGUCCAUCACAUACAGAAAAAAUAAAAGGGAAUAUGUGUGGGAAAAUGGCCAGAUCUGAUGUUGGGAUUGAGAAAAUGUCAUCACUGUGAGCACAAGGAACACUGAGUCUGUAGAAUUGUAUAUCUGGAAAGGGACCUUGGAAGCCAACUAGUCUGAGCUCUCCAUCCCUCAUUUUACAGGUAAGGGAUCAGAGACCUAGAGGAGCUACUUUCCCAAGGUCAACUGAAGAGAGCCAAGUUUGGAACCCAGAUCCUCUGACUCCCCAUCCAGUGUUCUUUCCCACACCCCAUUCUUCUAUCUAAUGGUCCCACUGGACAUUUCCCCUACAUGCAUGGAUCAUAUAUGUAGUACUGGGAGCAAUGAAUGAGGAGUCUGAAGGCCAGGGCUCAAAUCUCAGCCCUGCCAACUAUGUGAGUUUGUGCAGAUCACUUUCCAAUUUGAACCUCAGUUUCCUCAUUUGUAAAUUAUGGGAGAGAUACUAGAUGGUAUCUAUUGGUUUCUCCAGCUUGAAAUCUGUUCCAUAGAUCUCAUAUGACCUUCAAAUAUAAGGCAUAACAAAAUAUAGAUAUCAAUGU